rfam:Rattus norvegicus chromosome 5, whole genome shotgun sequence.
GGGGAUUUAGCUCAGUGGUAGAGCGCUUGCAUAGCAAGCGCAAGGCCCUGGGUUCAGUCCCCA